rnacentral:tRNA from 1 species
ACUUAUGGGGUGGUAAACUCCUCUUAUCA